rnacentral:rRNA from 1 species
AGAGUUUGAUUAUGGCUCAGGAUGAACGCUGGCGGCGUGCCUAACACAUGCAAGUCGAGCGAUUACUUCGGUAAAGAGCGGCGGACGGGUGAGUAACGCGUGGGUAACCUGCCUCAUACACAUGGAUAACAUACCGAAAGGUAUGCUAAUACAGGAUAAUAUAAGAGAUUCACAUGGAUUUCUUAUCAAAGCUCCGGCGGUAUGAGAUGGACCCGCGUCUGAUUAGCUAGUUGGUAAGGUAAUGGCUUACCAAGGCGACGAUUAGUAGCCGACCUGAGAGGGUGAUCGGCCACAUUGGAACUGAGACACGGUCCAAACUCCUACGGGAGGCAGCAGUGGGGAAUAUUGCACAAUGGGCGAAAGCCUGAUGCAGCAACGCCGCGUGAGUGAUGAAGGCCUUCGGGUCGUAAAACUCUGUCCUCAAGGAAGAUAGUGACGGUACUUGAGGAGGAAGCCCCGGCUAACUACGUGCCAGCCGCCGC